rnacentral:misc_RNA from 1 species
GAAAUGCGAUACGUAGUGUGAAUUGCAGAAUUCCGUGAACCAUCGAAUCUUUGAACGCAUAUUGCGCUCGACCCCUCGGGGAAGAGCAUGUCUGCCUCAGCGUCGGUUUACACCCUCACCCCUCUUACUUUUCAAGUGAGCGUUGCUGUGUUUUCAACCAGCACUUGGGGUGGAUCUGGCCCUCCCAAUCGAAGUAAUUCGAUUGGGUUGGCUGAAGCACAGAGGCUUAAACUGGGACCCGUACCGGGCUCAACUGGAUAGGUAGCGACACCCUCGGGUGCCUACACGAAGUUGUGUCUGAGGACCUGGUUAGGAGCCAAGCAGGAAACGUGGAAACACGUACUCUGUAUUCGACCUGAGCUCAGGCAAGGCUACCCGCUGAACUUAA